GUGUUUCAGAACAGGUUCAACGGUGCAGUAGACUUUCAUCGCAAUUUCUCGGAAUAUGAAAACGGCUUUGGUGCGUUAAACGGUGAAUUUUGGUUAGGUCUCAAGAUUGUGCAGGAAAUGACAUCAGAAGGUAAAACUGAGCUCAGGCUUGAUGCCGUGGCUGCCGACAAGACUUUUAUCGAAAUCUACCAGAACUUUUAUCUCGAUAAAGGCCCAAGCUAUACCCUUCACCUUGGUACACCAGGAACAGCAGAUCAAAAGUUUCUGUAUAACAAUGGCAUGCAUUUUUCGACGUAUGACGUUGACAAAGAUGGAGAACCUACUAGGGAUUGUGCAUCUGAAUAUCAUGGUGGUUGGUGGUACUACGGUUGCACUUUUAUAUAUAUAAAUGGACGAUAUGGAGACGAGAGCGAUAAAGGAAUGUGGUACGAAGUAAACGACAGAAAAAGAAUGUACCAUCUUAAAACCUCUAAAAUGAUGUUUCGAUAAUCACGUUCUAACCAAUACACGAGUGACAUUUCAUUUAGAAUAGAGUGGUUAUUUCAACCUUUAGCAGUGAUUUUAUCUAUUGGUCUGUGCAUAAAUAUAUAUAUGCCUAGUUUCUAUCCUAACAAAAACACGUGAUCACUUUAAUUUGUAUAGGAAAUAUGCCAAGAAUAGUGUUAAUGAUUUCAUAACUACAUAAUUAUUGUCAGAUUUAGAUUAUUUUCUUUUUAAUUUAAUGUUCCUUGUGAUAAAACAUAUGUCAGAUCUGCUUUCACGGAUUAUCAAUUAUUAAUGUCAGUUAAUGGAAAAGCUGUUCAAAGGUGAUAUUAAUGGUUUCAUAAAGUUAACUAAGAGCCAUGUUUUGAAAAUGCUCUAGUUUGCACCAAAAUCAAUAUUAAAAUGGGACCAAUUCUUGCAAAUGAGUCUAUGUUAGAGCAUAUUUUUAUAACCACGCGCGUUUUAUUAAAUGGUGUUUUUGUUUUAGACAUAUAUUUUGCAACUGUUAUUCUAGUAACGACUGGAAGUAACUUAGAUUAUAGUGACGCCACUGGUCAUUUCAAAAUAUACAGAUGUGCAUAUAUCUCUCGGACUCAUUAUCCAAGUUUCACGACCUUGCUUUCAAUCAAAUACGUUUUGAUUAUAAUUUGAAAGCAUUCUUUGCUUGAAAAAACUCACAAACUCACUUUUUUUCAGAAAACAAAACGAAAAGUUUUAUUUUGUAACAUAUUUUUAUAUAAUUACAUGUAAGAUUGUUUUAAGUACGCACAGAGACAUCCAUUUAUACAGUAAUGUAUAUUGUCUACGCAAUAUAAAGUACAAAACCCCCAUCAUACUUUAAUAUCACAAAAAAAAUAUCAUGAUAAAAACCUCAGUAGAAUAAUUGAAAACCCUUGAAGCAUUGUCACUUUGAGUUAAGAUGGUUUAAUACACAAUGUGAUGUGUAGUAGACGGGGAAGGAGGCAAUAAACCUUUAAAAAGUUUAACAAGUACAUUAUCUGCUGAUUAAUAAUAUUAUUUGUUUAGUAUUGUUUAUUUCGUUGUCUCCUGUUUUCAUUUGCUCACCUGUCACAAAAUGACAUGUGAGCUUUUGUGAUCGCGCGGCGUCCGUCCGUGCUUGCGUAAACUUUUGCUUGUGACCACUCUAGAGGUCACAUUUUUCAUGGGAUUUUUAUGAAUGUUGGUCAGAAUGUUCAUCUUGAUGAUAACUAGGUCAAGUUUGGAACUGGGUCAUAUGCGGUUCAAAACUAGGUCAGUAGGUCUAAAAAUAGAAAAACCUUGUGACCUCUCUAGAGACCAUACUUUUCAAUGCAUCUUCAUGAAAAUUAGUUAAAUGUUCACCGUGAUAAUAUCUAAGUCAAGUUUGAAACUGGGUUACAUGCCGUCAAAAACUAGGUCAGUAGGUCAAAUAAUAUAAAAACGUUGUGACCUCUCUAGAGGCCACAUUUUUCAUGGGAUCUGUAUGAAAGUUGGUCUGAAUGUUCAUCUUGAUGAUAUCUAGGUCAAGUUCGAAACUGGGUAAACUGCGGUCAAAAACUAGGUCAGUGAUCUUAAAAAAGGAAAACCUUGUGACCUUUCUAGAGGCCAUAUUUUUCAUGGGAUCUGUAUGAAAGUUGGUCUGAAUGUUCAUCUUGAUGAUAUCUAGCUAAAAUUUGAAACGGGAUCACGCGCGGUCAAAACCUAGGUCAGAAGGUCUAAAAUUUAAAAAACUUUUGACCUCUCUAUAGGCCAUAUUUUUCAAUGGAUCUUCAAGAAAAUUGGUCAGAAUUUUUAUCUUGAUAAUAUCUAUGUCAAGUUAGAAACUGGGUUACGUGUGGUCAAAAACUAGGUCAGUAUGUAUAAAGAUAGGAAAACCUUGUGACCUCUUUAGAGGCCAUACUUUUCAAUGGAUCUUUAUGAGAAUUGGUCAGAAUGUUCACCGUAAUAAUAUCUAGGUUAAGUUUGAAACUUGGUUACGUGCCUUCAAAAACUAGUUCAGUAGGUCAAAUAAUAGAAAAACCUUGUGACCCCUCUAGAGGCCAUAUCUUUUUUCAAUGGAACUUCAUGAAAAUUGGUCAGAAUUUUAAUCUUGAUGAUAUCUAGGUCAAGUUCAAAACUGGGUCACACGAGCUCAAAAACUAGGUCAUUAUGUCAAAUAAUAGAAAAAACGACGUCAUAUUCAGUUCAAAACUGGGUCAUGUUGGGACAGGUGAGCGAUUCAGGACCAUCAUGGUCCUCUUGUAUAUAUAUAUGUGUGUGUGUGUGUGUGUGUGCGUGUGCGUGUGUGUUAAUAUAAAUGUAAAAAUGUGCUCGUGUGUUCGUACGAGAGUACGAGCGUGUAUGUGUGUAGUCGCCACUGCUAUCCCAUAUGUACGACUCUUCUAGUAACGGGCUAGCAAAGUCUCCCUAUAACUUUUAAAGGAAGUACAAAAUACAAACGCCAUUUUCCACAAGCUUCCCUACUUUUAAGCGUACCACGUACAUAAUAGAUUUUCGAGAUUUUUCAAGAUUUUAUUUUAUAAACACCAGUAGGUCAUCGACCCAUGUGGCAAACACAUACAUAUACAUAUAUGGCGACAAUAAUGGGUAGUUGAUAUAUAUAACAAGCCAGCUGGACAGCAUCCUGACACUGAGGUAUUUUACAGCUCAUACUUCACCACUGGGACACUGGAAUCUCAUAGAUUAACAAUGGAGGACCUAGGCCUAUGCAAUGGAUCUUCUUCAGUCAAAGCAGUUAUAUAUAGAAUCUACAUCAGUAUAAAGCAUUAUAAUAUUUAAAUAUAAGUAGAAUUACGUAGACGAAUGCAUCUCUUUGGUUCUUCCAUAACAUGCUAAUUCAGACUAGGCAUACUGCAAGGUUCGGUUUUACAUGGUCUUGUAUUUACUUCAUAAUAUUGUUGUUGUUGUUAUUGUUCUGUAAGGCUAAAAGUGCCUAUCCUAUGAAUUUGACUUUCUGCUCUUUAAAAUAAAGUUAAGACUGUCUAAUAAGUGUUUCUUUUACCUUGCUAAAGAGCUA